AUGUUAUUAGUAUAAGUUUAUUAUUUGUCUUUUCCAAAGACAAGAUCUAGUUUUCUAGUUAGCAUA
rnacentral:tRNA from 1 species